ACUUUCUUCAGUCUAGUAGUGGCGGCAGUUAGCCACUCAGGUGCCUAAUAGAAAAAAAAAUAAUUUAAUGGCUUAUAAUUUUUGCAGAUGCCUGAUAUAGAAAAAAUUGAAUAUAUUGGUUGGCCCUAAGUAGAACUACUUCAACAAACUUAGAAUCAAGUAAAAAUAAAAAGUUGCCACCCAAAAACAUUGCUCCACUAGCACAGGCGCUGUGCCAGGUUUUCAAUUUUGGAUUAGCCCGGAUAAUAAUUUGUUUAAACAAGUCAUGAGUUGGUGGUGGUCAGAGGGGCUGUCAGCGCCAAAUGGCAGCCUCGCCUCUGUCAGACCGCCCCUGCGGGGCUGUGGCUACGUAGCUUACAAUCAAUGGCAGUGUGUGAAUGUGAGAGUGCAUGAAAGUGUCUUUGAGUGUCCUAAAAAGCGCAAUAUAAGUUCAAUACAUUACUAUUAUUAAAAUUGCGUAAACAAGUUAUCAAUAUAAGUUACAAGCAGAUACAGAAACAAUACAUAUAUACAAAGGUCGCGCUAGACCUUUUUGUUGUCAUUUUGACCGACAGAGUUAGAAAAAAUAGCCAUUAUCGUUUUCUCCUGUCAUUUUUAUUAAAAAAAAAAAAAGCUAGCUGCACUGAUCAUGGUGUCCAUGUCUGAGAUAAUGCUCAGAUGUUCGGAUGGGAAUUUUUUCAUGAUGUAUUUUGUUACCUUCGUGAUUUUCUCUGUGUGUAAUGUUUAAAAUGUCUGCUCACCUGUAUGCAUCAAGGUAAUUCCAGUCUGUCAAAAUUACCAACAACCUUGAGAUUUUUCCAUCAAAAUAAUCGGCCAAACAGAAAAUAUCCAAUUAAUGUGAUCCCUGCCUACAUUUAACUUUUUUGCCUUCUUGUGAAGAUAGUGUGGCAGCCCUUCACACAACAGGAGUAUACAAUUUUCUGCAGGCUUACAAACUCACAACAACACAAAGCGGCCAAUGCUUCCUUUGUUCAUACAUCUAGCUAUCUCAUCAUGCAACAUGCUACAGCACCCGAUACGUUAUCUGACAUGGACCAAUUGGCUGUGGGAGGCCAGAGGUAAAGUCCUCCUUGAAAAUGACCAAAUUUAAAGUUCUAUGUCAUAUAGCUCCGACCUUGAAGCCAUCACCCAUUAGAUUAAUUUUCAUUCCCUUAUCCAAUUAUUGAAGAGCUUUUCGUGUAUGCCUGCCUCCUAGGUGGGUCCUGGCCCAAUAAAAGGGUACAGAGAGCAUAGCUCAUCUCCAUAAGUCUCAAAGAUCCCUCAGAACCAGUGGGGCCAGGAUGCUUAAAGGGCUACGCUGAACUCAUAUACUCUGGGGUUACAAUAUGUAACCAACGUUUUAUGUAGUAUAGCUCCGCCCUUUAAGCCAUCGCCUGUUGGAUUAAAGGGAGAGUCAAAUAUAGUCAACCCCACACUGGUCCAGAACCAAACCUAAGCAGACUCUGAGGCUCCAGCCCAACAAACCUCUACGGCUGUCAGCGGGCGAAAACAUGAGAAAACAGCUGCAGGACAUGAUGACAGCAAAUGAGCAGCAAAUUGCUGAUGGGAAUCAACACCAAGGUUGCCUAGCAACAGGUGGGAGGGGGGAAGGUGUCACAAUCAGGAAGGACAAAAUGUGACAUAUUGGCUGUGUCUCAAUUCAGGGUCUGCAUCCUACGUCGGCCGGUUACGUCACAGCGCCGCGACUAGGCCUGUCCCAAUUCGAAGACUCCUUCAAAUGCGGUCGACGAAUCCGGCCUUCUUUUUGCCUGAAUGAAGGAUGGGUCGGGUGUAUCCUUCAAUAGGUAGCAUUUCCCAAGAUGCCUUGCGGGUCGGCCGGCAGAAAAACUUAAAAACAAUGGCGGACAGUGAAGCGGGAGCUGUCGGAGAGGAUUGCGCAUAUAAAUGAACAAAAGAGAAAACCAGGGAAUUUAUUAAGCUUAGGGCGGAGAUGGACCACAUGAUCACCGGAGCAAAGUAUUCGGCGGCUGUGGCAUGGAGACUAUUCUGGAGAAAAUGGGCAUCCAGGGGAAGGUGCCAGCGAUGACCAGCUUCUGGAGCUGUUCAGGGAGGACUUGAGGCUGCAGAGGGAGGCAGAGCAGCAGAGAGCACAGGAGAGAAGGAAGAACUUUGACAGCUUUUUACUUUGCUAGAAAAAAUGGUUAAGGAAGAUUAAACAUGUACAUAUAAAAGAAAUAUCUAAAUAAAAUCAGUUCUGCAUUAAACUCUUGAAUUUUAUUUUUGUUUACAAAUGAGAAUUGUUUACUAGAGGGUAUCUGCUGGGUCUUGAAAAGUCUUAAAAGGUGAUAAAUCGGUUUUGGUCAAAUUAAGACCCUGAGAAAGUAUUAAAAACUAUUAUCACAUCUUUGCUCAGGCUCAGCUUGUCUAAAGUAUUUUCUCUGAAUUAGCUCUCCAACAAUCAAGGAAAUGAUAACCCCCAGAGACCCACGGUUGUAAUAUUACAACAUCAGAU